rnacentral:rRNA from 1 species
AGUGAACGCUGGCGGUAGGCCUAACACAUGCAAGUCGAACGGCAGCACAGUCUGAGCUUGCUCUUACGGGUGGCGAGUGGCGGACGGGUGAGGAAUACAUCGGCAUCUACUUUUUCGUGGGGGAUAACGUAGGGAAACUUACGCCAAUACCGCAUACGGCCUACGGGUGAAAGCAGGGGAUCUUCGGCCCUUGCGCGAUUGAAUGAGCCGAUGUCGGAUUAGCUAGUUGGCGGGGUAAAGGCCCACCAAGGCGACGAUCCGUAGCUGGUCUGAGAGGAUGAUCAGCCACACUGGAACUGAGACACGGUCCAGACUCCUACGGGAGGCAGCAGUGGGGAAUAUUGGACAAUGGGCGCAAGCCUGAUCCAGCCAUACCGCGUGGGUGAAGAAGGCCUUCGGGUUGUAAAGCCCUUUUGUUGGGAAAGAAAAGCAGCAGGUUAAUACCCCGCUGUUCUGACGGUACCCAAAGAAUAAGCACCGGCUAACUUCGUG